UCCUACGGGAGGCAGCAGUGGGGAAUAUUGCACAAUGGGCGCAAGCCUGAUGCAGCGACGCCGCGUGCGGGAUGACGGCCUUCGGGUUGUAAACCGCUUUUGAUCGGGAGCAAGCCUUCGGGUGAGUGUACCUUUCGAAUAAGCACCGGCUAACUACGUGCCAGCAGCCGCGGUAAUACGUAGGGUGCAAGCGUUAUCCGGAAUUAUUGGGCGUAAAGGGCUCGUAGGCGGUUCGUCGCGUCCGGUGUGAAAGUCCAUCGCUUAACGGUGGAUCUGCGCCGGGUACGGGCGGGCUGGAGUGCGGUAGGGGAGACUGGAAUUCCCGGUGUAACGGUGGAAUGUGUAGAUAUCGGGAAGAACACCAAUGGCGAAGGCAGGUCUCUGGGCCGUUACUGACGCUGAGGAGCGAAAGCGUGGGGAGCGAACAGGAUUAGAUACCCUGGUAGUCCACGCCGUAAACGGUGGAUGCUGGAUGUGGGGCCCGUUCCACGGGUUCCGUGUCGGAGCUAACGCGUUAAGCAUCCCGCCUGGGGAGUACGGCCGCAAGGCUAAAACUCAAAGAAAUUGACGGGGGCCCGCACAAGCGGCGGAGCAUGCGGAUUAAUUCGAUGCAACGCGAAGAACCUUACCUGGGCUUGACAUGUUCCCGACAGCCGUAGAGAUAUGGUUUCCCUUCGGGGCGGGUUCACAGGUGGUGCAUGGUCGUCGUCAGCUCGUGUCGUGAGAUGUUGGGUUAAGUCCCGCAACGAGCGCAACCCUCGCCCUGUGUUGCCAGCACGUCAUGGUGGGAACUCACGGGGGACCGCCGGGGUCAACUCGGAGGAAGGUGGGGAUGACGUCAGAUCAUCAUGCCCCUUACGUCCAGGGCUUCACGCAUGCUACAAUGGCCGGUACAACGGGAUGCGACACGGCGACGUGGAGCGGAUCCCUGAAAACCGGUCUCAGUUCGGAUUGGAGUCUGCAACCCGACUCCAUGAAGGCGGAGUCGCUAGUAAUCGCGGAUCAGCAACGCCGCGGUGAAUGCGUUCCCGGGCCUUGUACACACCGCCCGUCAAGUCAUGAAAGUGGGUAGCACCCGAAGCCGGUGGCCUAACCCUUUGUGGAUGGAGCCGUCUAAGGUGAGACUCGUGAUUGGGACUAAGUCGUAACAAGGUAGCCGUACCGGAAGGUGCGGCUG
rnacentral:rRNA from 1 species